AUUGAACGCUGGCGGCAGGCUUAACACAUGCAAGUCGAGCGGAGAUGAGGUGCUUGCACCUUAUCUUAGCGGCGGACGGGUGAGUAAUGCUUAGGAAUCUGCCUAUUAGUGGGGGACAACAUUCCGAAAGGAAUGCUAAUACCGCAUACGUCCUACGGGAGAAAGCAGGGGAUCUUCGGACCUUGCGCUAAUAGAUGAGCCUAAGUCGGAUUAGCUAGUUGGUGGGGUAAAGACCUACCAAGGCGACGAUCUGUAGCGGGUCUGAGAGGAUGAUCCGCCACACUGGGACUGAGACACGGCACAGGCUCCUACGGGAGGCAGCAGUGGGGAAUAUUGGACAAUGGGAGGAACCCUGAACCAGCCAUGCCGCGUGUGUGAAGAAGGCCUUAUGGUUGUAAAGCACUUUAAGCGAGGAGGAGGCUACUGAGACUAAUACUCUUGGAUAGUGGACGUUACUCGCAGAAUAAGCCCCGGCUAACUCCGUGCCAGCCGCCGCAGUAACAC
rnacentral:rRNA from 1 species